UUCAUGGAAAGGAUUAACAAUGUGUGUUACUGUAUGUGGGUGUGAUUCAUGAAGGGGCUGAAAGGUGCUCCAUGGAAGCUGGUUCAGUCUCUGUGUACUUUGCACAGCAUCAGUCAUUCAGCACUUUGAGCCAAGCAGCUGCUGAAUGUCAGACUCUGUGGUAGACCUGGAGUUUAGCUGAUGUAUUCCUAAGGAUGAAGCUGGGGACAAAAUUCUGACCUGACAUCACCACUUGUGCUUUAGUGGAUUUAAUUCUGCAGGCAAGUGAUCUGCUCUAUGUAAAUAGCUGAUGCUGGGUGUCCUAAACCAAAUUGGAACAAUUCCUGCCGAACGUGAGCAGUGGACUUGCUGUCUGUAUUUGUGUAUAAAUGCUUUUGCAUCAUGUUCAUGAGUCAUGAAUGGCCACAGAUUUUCCUCUUUUCCAGAAGGUUCUGCCACAGAAAAACAACUACAUUUUAUUUCUCAGGUACAAUGAGCUUGCUCGCUGCUCUCUGGUAUCUUAUUAAUGAGUUAUGUCUGAAAA